AUCCCUUUGUCGUUUAUAAGUAUGAUGAUUGGGUUUUCAUGUUCCUGUAUCUAUGCCUCCUUCAAGCCUUGUUAUGAUGUCCGCACAUUACCUGCCUGUCA
ensembl:snoRNA